rnacentral:lncRNA from 1 species
AUGAGUAAAAUAAGCCCGGUGAGAAAAAACCUCUCGGGGUUGUUUAAACUUCUCCCAGGGUUUCCAGAGCAGGGGAGGGGAAGGGAGGGAGGCUCUGGGCUUUCCCUGGGCAGGACAGGCCAUUACAAUCACAAACAUUAUUCCAGCAAAGAGAGGGAGGACGGAGGGGGAAAACCAUCCCUGCCAGAAAACACUGCAGCCGCUGUCUGCGCUCCGGGGUUGGGUUUUUUCCCCUCCUUCCCUGGCUCAGCACAAAGCAGCCAUUGCUGCUCCUGGCCACGACAAAUGAGCGGGGAGGGAGCUCUGAAUGGAGGGGUCUGUGUGGACAGCGUGGGGAGCUCCCCCCAUCCCGGUCCCAGCGGGAAUUGGGACCCCCAGGCUGACCCCCGAGGGGCAGGAGGGACACUUCAUCCUGCCCCAAAGGAUAUUCCAUCCCAAAGCAUGUGCUGUCCCAAGGGAUGGAAUAUCCUUUGGGAUAUUUCCACCCCAAAGGACAGCACAUCCAAAGGGACAGUCCUGUCCCAAGGGACACCCUGUCCCAAAGGAUGCUCCAUCCCAAGGGAUUCUCCAUCUCAAGGGACAUCCUAUCCCAAGGGAUACUUCCAGCCCAAGGGGUAUCCUGUCCCAAAGGACACCCCAUCCCAGAGAUACUCCAUCCCAAGGGAAAUUUCCAUCCCAAAGGACACUCCAUCCCAAAGGAUAUCCCCAUCUCAGGGAACACUCCAUCCCAAGGGACACUCCCAUCCCAGGGGACACUCCAUCCCAAGGGGUAUCCUGUCCCAAAGGACACUCCAUCCCAGAGAUACUCCAUCCCAAGGGAAAUUUCCAUCCCAAAGGAAACUCCAUCCCAAAGGAUAUCCCCAUCUCAAGGGACACUCCCAUCCCAAGGGACACUCCCAUCCCAGGGGACACUCCAUCCCAGGGGACACUCCAUCCCAAGGGGUAUCCUGUCCCAAAGGACACUCCAUCCCAGAGAUACUCCAUCCCAAGGAACACUCCCAUCCCAAAGGAUACUCCAUCCCAAAGGAUAUCCCCAUCCCAAGGAACACCCCAUCCCAAGGGAUAUCCUAUCCCGAGCCGACACUCCAUCCCCAGAGCCAUCCCCUCCCUCGG